rnacentral:rRNA from 1 species
AACGAACGCUGGCGGCAGGCCUAACACAUGCAAGUCGAACGCCGUAGCAAUACGGAGUGGCAGACGGGUGAGUAACACGUGGGAACAUACCCUUCGGUUCGGAAUAACUCAGGGAAACGUUGAGCUAAUACCGGAUACGUCCGCGAGGAGAAAGAUUCAUCGCCGGAGGAUUGGCCCGCGUCUGAUUAGCUUGUUGGUGAGGUAACGGCUCACCAAGGCGACGAUCAGUAGCUGGUCUGAGAGGAUGAUCAGCCACAUUGGGACUGAGACACGGCCCAAACUACCUACGGGA